rnacentral:tRNA from 1 species
GGCGAGGUCGGAUAGCCCGGUUAUUCCGGAACAUUCGAAUGAUGUUCUGCCGCAAGGCGCGUGCGUUCGAAUCGCACCCUCGUCG